rnacentral:rRNA from 1 species
GACGAACGCUGGCGGCGUGCUUAACACAUGCAAGUCGAACGGAAAGGCCCUGCUUUUGUGGGGUGCUCGAGUGGCGAACGGGUGCGUAACACGUGAGUAACCUGCCCUUGACUUUGGGAUAACUUCAGGAAACUGGGGCUAAUACCGGAUAGGAGCUCCUGCUGCAUGGUGGGGGUUGGAAAGUUUCGGCGGUCGGGGAUGGACUCGCGGCUUAUCAGCUUGUUGGUGGGGUAGUGGCUUACCAAGGAUUUGACGGGUAGCCGGCCUGAGAGGGUGACCGGCCACCUUGGGCCUGCGAGACGGCCCAGACUCCUACGUGAGGCAGCAGUGGGGAAUAUUGCACAAUGGGCGGAAGCCUGAUGCAGCAACGCCGCGUGCGGGAUGACGGCCUUCGGGUUGUAAACCGCUUUCGCCUGUGACGAAGCGUGAGUGACGGUAAUGGGUAAAGAAGCACCGGCUAACUACGUG